rnacentral:rRNA from 1 species
UGUCAUAAGCCCAAGAUGCCCCUAGAACCCCCAUAAAUAUGAUCUUAGCAUCCACGACCUAUUUCAACCCACGAAAGCUAAGGCACAAACUGGGAUUAGAUACCCCACUAUGCUUAGCCCUAAAUCCAGAUACUUACCCCACACAAGUAUCCGCCCGAGAACUACGAGCACAAACGCUUAAAA